CCUACGGUGGCAGCAGUGGGGAAUAUUGGACAAUGGGCGAAAGCCUGAUCCAGCCAUGCCGCGUGUGUGAAGAAGGCCUUCGGGUUGUAAAGCACUUUCAGUGGGGAAGAAAGCCUUGGGGCUAAUACCCUCGAGGAAGGACAUCACCCACAGAAGAAGCACCGGCGAACUCCGUGCCAGCAGCCGCGGUAAUACGGAGGGUGCGAGCGUUAAUCGGAAUUACUGGGCGUAAAGCGCGCGUAGGCGGUCUGAUAAGCCGGUUGUGAAAGCCCCGGGCUCAACCUGGGAACGGCAUCCGGAACUGUCAGGCUAGAGUGCAGGGGAGGAAGGUAGAAUUCCCGGUGUAGCGGUGAAAUGCGUAGAGAUCGGGAGGAAUACCAGUGGCGAAGGCGGCCUUCUGGACUGACACUGACGCUGAGGUGCGAAAGCGUGGGUAGCAAACAGGAUUAGAUACCCUGGUAGUC
rnacentral:rRNA from 1 species